CAUGGCUCAGAGUGAACGCUGGCGGUAGGCCUAACACAUGCAAGUCGAGGGGCAGCAUGGUCUUAGCUUGCUAAGACUGAUGCCGACCGGCGCACGGGUGCGUAACGCGUAUGCAACUUGCCUCCCAGAGGGGGAUAACCCGUCGAAAGACGGACUAAUACCGCGUACACUCUAGCUUGGGCAUCCAGGCUGGAUGAAAUGAAAUUCGCUGUGAGAUAGGCAUGCGUCCCAUUAGCUAGUUGGUGAGGUAACGGCUCACCAAGGCGACGAUGGGUAGGGGAACUGAGAGGUUGAACCCCCACACUGGUACUGAGACACGGACCAGACUCCUACGG
rnacentral:rRNA from 1 species